rnacentral:rRNA from 1 species
UGGGGAAUAUUGCACAAUGGGGGAAACCCUGAUGCAGCGACGCCGCGUGAGCGAAGAAGGCUUUCGAGUCGUAAAGCUCUGUCCUAUGAGAAGAUAAUGACGGUAUCAUAGGAGGAAGCCCUGGCUAAAUACGUGCCAGCAGCCGCGGUAAUACGUAUGGGGCGAGCGUUGUCCGGAAUUAUUGGGCGUAAAGGGUACGUAGGCGGUUUUUUAAGUCAGGUGUCAAAGCGUGGAGCUUAACUCCAUUAAGCACUUGAAACUGAAAGACUUGAGUGAAGGAGAGGAAAGUGGAAUUCCUAGUGUAGCGGUGAAAUGCGUAGAUAUUCGGAGGAAUACCGGUGGCGAAGGCGACUUUCUGGACUUGAACUGACGCUGAGGCACGAAAGCGUGGGGAGCAAACAGG